rnacentral:rRNA from 1 species
CCUACGGGUGGCAGCAGUGAGGAAUAUUGGUCAAUGGACGAGAGUCUGAACCAGCCAAGUAGCGUGAAGGAUGACUGCCCUAUGGGUUGUAAACUUCUUUUAUAUGGGAAUAAAACGUUCCACGUGUGGGAUUUUGUAUGUACCAUAUCAUUAAGGAUCGGCUAACUCCGUGCCAGCAGCCGCGGUAAUACGGAGGAUCCGAGCGUUAUCCGGAUGUAUUGGGUUUAAAGGGAGCGUAGGUGGAUUGUUAAGUCAGGUGUGAAAGUUUGCGGCUCAACCGGAAAAUUGCAGUUGAAACUGGCAAUCUUGAGUACAGUAGAGGUGAGCGGAAUUCGUGGUGUAGCGGGGAAAUGCUUAGAUAUCACGAAGAACUCCGAUUGCGAAGGCAGUUCACUGGACUGCAACUGACACUGAGGCUCGAAAGUGUGGGUAUCAAACAGGAUUAGAUACCCCAGUAGUC